UUUUUUUGAAGGUGGUAAUAUUUAAAGAAGAUAUUAUUAGUUUUAUUUUUCAUUUUUGUCUCCAUCAUAUUGAUGUCGACAUGUGAUAGAUUAAGCUUCCGAUAGAAAGAUAUGUUUUCAACAGCACUAGUUUCCUGAAUAUGAUUUUGUAUGGAUGAGUGAUCACUACCAUCUCCUGUGAUCGAUGGUGGAAGCUCUAUUUAUGGUCAAAUUAAGCUCUCAUGUUAAGCGUUUAAUAAUAAGAAUUGAUUGGGAACAACUUCUUGAAUAUAGGUACCAAUAUGGCCUUAAGCCAGUUGAUACGUCUCAGGUCGGUAUCAGUAUUAGAAGGUGGAAGCUCAUGAGGAACUAGUUUAACAUGCGUAUUUCCAAUUGAGUUAGUUGAUCUACUGUAAGGAAGGGUUGUUGAUCCCGAAUAACCCACCUGAGUAUGAGCAUCAGAAACCAUAAAGUUGUCUUUUUUCCAUAGUAUUGUUCUUAGUAGCGCGCGUCCCUUCUUUGGUUAGUUGUCUUAUAGGGAUUCUUACUAGACACUAUUUGAGUCCCAAUUUAUAUGUUAGACUCGGUAGCCAUCAACGACAUUUAAUGCAUCUAGUACUGUUCAGCGUUGGGAGAGCUGUCGACGCCUGUUUAGUUGGGUUCUAACUAAUCUGGUCAUUUUUGGACGGUGCUGGGAAAGAAAUAUGACUAGAUAAAUGCUUUUCUUCAAUUUCAUCUGGUCUGGUGUUUGUUUGGUUCCUUUUCUAAUGAUUGAGUCGUAUGUUAAGAUGCCACGCUGUUGUGUGGGGAUAGGGUUCUCAUCUAAUCCAAUAGAAAUGCCUUUGUGAGACACCCAUGAUGUUCUGCUCUCUUUUAUCUUUAGUUAUUGUGUCGACUGUUCUUCUUUAUGGAAUCAACUGAGUUCAUGCUUCAUUUCUUUGAAAAAAAAGCUUCUGAACAGCCCCUUCUCAGGUUUGGUUUGGAUGUGGGUUUUCACUUAUCCUGUUAGAUUUUCAUGUAAACAGGUGCUGGAUUUUAAAUUCUCUUAAAGCUUUCUUUAUGAAUUUGAACAUAUUUCCUUCUGUAUUAUCUGGAUUGCAUUUUUUUUUCUUUUGAAAGGACUGUUGAGCUAGCCUUUCGAUCAUCUACUGUCUAGAUUGAUUUCUGGUUUCAUCCUUUUUCGUUUCCUUUCAAAUAGGUGCUUGAUUCUAUUGUUUGCUUCUGUAUUGCAAUAUGAGUUUAGAAUUAAGGGCUUACUGUUUUUUUGUUUUCUCUUCUUUAGUUGAGGUCUAUGGUUGUGGGUUCUUACUCCUGCACUUUGCUUGCGCGGGAAAGCCUUCUCAGACUUUGGUUCAUGGCAGGUACCAUUUGACUCUCUAUCUGAUUCCAGUGAACUUCAUUGCAUUGUCCAAAUGUUUUUUCUUAUCAUUUUUGUUGCAGCAAUUUACAUUUAGUUCUUUUGUUUUUCUGUGGGUUGGUAUACGCUUGAUUCUGCUUGCCUUUUUUUGUUUGUUAUGAUAUCUGGUUGAUGUUUUCAAUUCAUUGUUGUGUUGUACUGGCCUUUCAUGCUUGUUUAGGAUAUUGAAGUGUCUUGGUCACUCCUCUUUGUUGCUCUUGAAUAUAUGAUAUAUCUUUGCUUCUGCGUAUCUGUUUUUGUGUUUUCUCUUCAUGUUAUGAAUCUUUCAGACUCCUUUGGCUCUUUUUAAGGACUUGCAAUCUUCAUGGACAUAAAGGAAAGAAAGAGAAGCUUCUUAAUCACAUUUUUUAUAGUAUAGAUAGUUUCUUGGAAUUGUUUUGUCAUUGGUUAGCUUUCUUGCUUUGCUUGCCUCUUGAUUUCCUGUUAUGUGAUUGCUGUGCGGGCAGGUGGUGUCUUUGCUUUUUACGUAUGAGUUUCUUUGUGACUCUCUGGUAUUUGUCCUUUGUCUCUCUAUGUUGCUUCCCUUUUUAUUUCUAUUUUUCCUCACAUGCUUUUCUGCUUAUGAGUAUUCAAAGGCUUAAACUGGCUCAUGUUUUAACAUGGUUUGGCCUGAAGGAUUCUGUUGAAUGUGUUUGCUGUUGUUGCAAACAACCUUUUCCAGGUUUGUCUUUGGUCACCUGUUUUUUUAUUGCCAUGUUGGUUAUUGGUUUUUUUCCUCUGGAAAUAUAAAUUAUGUUUGCCUUUUUCUGCUUUUCAUCGGUUACUAUUGCUCUUUGCCUUUUCUACUCUCCAUCAGUUUUCCAUUUUAGCUUUGUUGCUUCAAUCGCAAUUUGUUUAGUGGUUCUCACCUUUAUUGGUGUUCACUUGCACUAACUUCUUGGUUUACUUGAAUAAAUAAAUCUUUUCCUCAUUGCUUUACUUGCAGAGCUAUUUUCCCUGCCUUUUUUACUUACUUUUUACUCUUUGUCCAGAUUUUCUUGCAGACUGCUCGCUUUUCAGCGCACCCCCCCCCCCCCCCCCCCCCCCCCCCAUUUGUAGCAUCAAAGAUUCAAUUUAAAGAUUGAGAAGUGCAACCUCAAAAAACUUCAUCAACUAUGUUAAUGAGACAUGAGCAUUAGGGUGCAAGGAUUUUAAUCAUGACAUUAUAAGCUCAUAAGUUAUGGUUAUGCAGUGAUAGCGUUUGCCACCCUGUGAUGUGCAGUUUACUUUUGUGUAAACACAUGAAAGAAAUAGAGCAGCUCUAUUUUUUCCUUCAGAACCAGUUUCCUGUGAUGGUUAUUUAUCUAAGCUGGAAGUAUGGAAACAAGUAGUGUAAUUUCUUGCCUUAUGUCUUUUGGUGCCCUUCAUUUCAUAGCAAGGUGUCGGAGAGAACUGUACAUGUGUUAUCGAACUCAAUUUUUUAGCUUUGUCAUAUGGGGAUUAGAUAGAUUUGCACUUUUUCUG